UUAAAUACAGGAAUUCCGGUCUCGAAUUAAAUGAACAACACAGAGUAUAAAACAAAUAAACAAAACAAAAACAUGUACACAUAAUAAAAUAAUAGAUAUAUAAUCGAAAAGGGAAGCGUUGAAUACAGGAAGCACAGUGACAAUAUAUAAAACCACACCCGAUAUUUUCGUAGGAAGUGAAAGUCCCAAGGUGAGGCGAGGUGAGGUGUCCCACUCAUCACACCCACAGCAGGGAGCAGGCCUACACAGUGGUUCGCUUCUGGCCCAAAGAGGUUAGAUGAACUAAGGUCUAUGUUAAAUCCCCCUUGUUCUGACCGCGGGAUGAAAUGUAGCGAAGGCCAGAGUCGGUGUUGUCUGCCGGCUACUAAGGCGCUUAAGGUUCGUCCGUCCGUCCUUCAUCCCUUAAUUCAUUCCUUCCUUCCUUCCUUGUCCUCACCUGACCACUAGGAUCAGGUAAAGGAUGAUAGAUGAGGCUGGAAGGACGUGUGAUGGCUGGAGGGAAGUGUAGAGGCGAUGGAGGGAAGUGAGGGGGAAAGGAGAAAAUUAUAUAGCUCUGGAGGGAGGUAUGGAGGGAUGGAGAAAAAAAAAAAAAGAGGGCUAGAAAGGAACCCUGGAGAGCUGGAGGGAAGUAGGAAGCUCUAAUAGGAAGUAUGGAACAUUGAAGAGGCUGGAGGGCUAAGUGGAGCUGGAGAGAAGUACCGAGGGACUAUAAGGAAAUGUGGAGAGCUGGAGGAAAGCUUAUAGGAACUGAAGAGGGCUGUGGAGGUUGGAGGAAAGUGUGGAGGGACUAGAGAACUGUAGAAAGACUGGAGAAAAGUGUAGAGGAACCUGAGAGAAGUAUGAAGGAGAUGAAGAGAGCUGUGGAGGUGGAUGGAGGAGAGUAUGGAUGGGCUAGGAGGAAAUGUGGAGAACUGGAGAAAAUCUUGGAGGAACUGAUGAGAGAUGUGGAGGGAUGGAGGGAAGGGUGGAGGGACUGGAGAACUGUGAAGUGAAGAGACUAAAAUACAACCAUCUCACUCUCUUUCUAUCUCAUUUGCCUACAUCACAUGUUGCGCCGCCACUCUCAGUAUUCCCUAGCUGGCUAACUAUUCUGGGUCACCUACAUGCAAUUUGACCUCAGUGACCUUUCCGGCAGUUGACCUUUGACUAAUGACCUAGGUGGUGCAAGGGUCAGCAUUUCUCUGGACCUUUUUGUGGUGGUGCAUGACUCGAGCUGUGACUGUGAACUUGCUGUUACUGUGCUACUGUUUCUGUGCUGCUAUCAACCUUUCCUGAAUCCUGAGACUGCCCUGAAGGUGAAGAAUGGCAGCGUAAUGGAGGGAUCUGUGGAAGAGUUGGAGGGAAGUGUGGAGUGAUGAAGGGAAGUGUGGAGGUGUUGGAGGGAAGUGUGGAAGGGCUGGAGGAAAGUGUGGAAGGACGGAAGGAAGUGUGAAAGAGCUGGAUGUGAGGGUCAAGGGGUUGGAGGGAAGUAUGGAGGGCUUGAGGGAAGCGUGGAGGGGUUGGAAGAAAGUGUGGAAGGAAUGGAGGGGUUUUGGUCAAUUAGAAGGAGGAGGAGGAGGAGGAGGAGGAGGAGGAGGAGGAGGAGGAGGAGGAGGAGGAGGAGAAGGAAAAGGAGGAGGAGGAGGAGUAAUAGUAAUAAUAAUUUAUAUGCAGUCCACGACACAGAGUAUAAAACAAAUAAACAAAACAAAAACAUGUACACAUAAUAAAAUAAUAAAUAUAUAAUCGAAAAGGGAAGCGUUGAAUACAGGAAGUGUGAAAGAGCUGGAUGAAAGGGUCAAGGGGUUGGAGGGAAGUAUGGAGGGCUUGAGGGAAGCCCUCCAACCCCUCCACACUUCCCUUCAUCACUCUACACUUCUCUCCAACUCUUCCACAGAUCCCUCCAUUACGCUGCCAUUUUUCACCUUCAAGGCAGUCUCAGGAUACAGGGAAGGUUGAUAGCAGCACAUGUUAAAUUUGUAUGUUCCAUUCCUUUGCUUGCUCGUGUGUGUAAGUGUGUGUGUGUGUGUGUGUGUGUGUGUGUGUGUGUGUGUGUGUGUGUGUGUGUGUGUGUGUGUGGUUUUUUCUCGAGUACUCGUAUCCUAUAAAUUCCCUCUUGCAUCAGCCACGAACCGGAUUAAGAAUUAUAUAAAAUGCUUUCUUCCUCUUCCUCGUCGGUAGCAGGGUGGAGUCGCCCAGGUGUUUGCGGCUGCCGGAUCUCCAUCUCAAGGGAUUCCUGACACGGGUCAACGCUCUAUAUUGUCUCUCUAAUGGGACCACAUACUGAUAUCCGAUCCUUCCGCUUCCUCAUCCUCCUCCACUAACACCACCUCCUCUUCCUUCUCCUCCAGCCCACCCCGAGUGGAGAGAGGUGGUGCCUCCAUCCUAUGCCUACCAAUGUGUCGCCCGUCAACCCUUAACCACAUGUCUAACCUACGACCUCAAGUCAAGGAUAGAGUAUAUUUUGACUUCCUCUGCUGUGUCCUUUGCGUACUUCCACCUUGUUUCUGAUUCUUUCCUCUACUACCGUCUGCUAUUCUCAUUCAGUUCCUGUCUCUGCACAUCGUUUCUGUCCCGUUCUUACUAUUGUCUUUCAUCAUCUUCUAUUGUCAUUCAGUUCUUGUCUCUGUACAUCGUUUCUGUCUCGUUCUUACCCUUGUCUUUUAUUAUACAUUCAGCUCUUGUGUCUGUAAACUGUUUCUGUCUCACUGUUAUUUUUUAUAAUCUUAUAUCCUGAUUCAGUUCCUACCUCUGCACUUUUUGUUUUUGUCUAGUUCCUACCUUGCCUUUUAUUAAUAUUAAUAAUUUUACUCUUUUGGUAACCACACUAUCUUCUUCCUCUUUCUAUAUCGGUUCUCUAUAUGUUUUGCCUCUCUUCCUACUCCUCUCUUGCUUUUACUCUUUCCAUGCUUCUUUUUAAUCCUGUUCUUAUUCUGGUUUCUCACAUUCUCCCGAGUGGUGGACGAAUAGUCACGUCACAGAAUUUCAAGGUCUGAAGAAUUAUGUGAAAAGUUUUGCUGUUCAACUUAUGACUCCUUUUUAACCCUUCAACUACUACUGAGAUCACUGUAAUGAAUUGUUUGGAUGGAAAUAAAACUGAAAGAAUA